rnacentral:rRNA from 1 species
CCUACGGGGCGCAGCAGUGGGGAAUAUUGGACAAUGGGCGAAAGCCUGAUCCAGCCAUGCCGCGUGUGUGAAGAAGGCCUUCGGGUUGUAAAGCACUUUCAGUGGGGAAGAAAGCCUUGGGGCUAAUACCCUCGAGGAAGGACAUCACCCACAGAAGAAGCACCGGCUAACUCCGUGCCAGCAGCCGCGGUAAUACGGAGGGUGCGAGCGUGAAUCGGAAUUACUGGGCGUAAAGCGCGCGUAGGCGGUCUGAUAAGCCGGUUGUGAAAGCCCCGGGCUCAACCUGGGAACGGCAUCCGGAACUGUCAGGCUAGAGUGCAGGAGAGGAAGGUAGAAUUCCCGGUGUAGCGGUGAAAUGCGUAGAGAUCGGGAGGAAUACCAGUGGCGAAGGCGGCCUUCUGGACUGACACUGACGCUGAGGUGCGAAAGCGUGGGUAGCAAACAGGAUUAGAUACCCCUGUAGUC